GCCUGAGUGGCUCAGUCGGUUGAGCACCCAACUUCGGCUCAGGUCAUGAUCUCACAGCUCGUGGGUUCGAGCCCCGCGUCGGGCU
rnacentral:tRNA from 1 species